AUUGAACGCUGGCGGCAGGCUUAACACAUGCAAGUCGAACGAGUGGCGGACGGGUGAGUAAUGUCUGGGAAACUGCCUGAUGGAGGGGGAUAACUACUGGAAACGGUAGCUAAUACCGCAUACCAUCAGAUGUGCCCAGGUGGGCUUAGCUUGUUGGUGAGGUAACGGCUCACCAAGGCGACGAUCCCUAGCUGGUCUGAGAGGAUGACCAGCAACACUGGAACUGAGACACGGUGCAGACUCCUACGGGAGGCAGCAGUGGGGAAUAUUGCGCAAUGGGGGCAAGCCUGAUGGAGCCAUGCCGCGUGAAUGAAGAAGGCCUUCGGGUUGUAAAGUACUUGCAGUGGGGAGGCGUUAACCGCAGAAGAAGCACCGGCUAACUCCGUGCCAGCAGCCGCGGUAAUAC
rnacentral:rRNA from 1 species